GACGAACGCUGGCGGCGUGCCUAACACAUGCAAGUUGAGCGACGAACCAGGGCUUGCCCUGGGGCAAAGCAGCGAACGGGUGAGUAACACGUGGGUAACCUCCCCCGAUAACCGGGACAACCCGAGGAAACUCGGGCUAAUACCGGAUGUGCUCACUGGACUUCGGUUCAGUGCGUAAAGGAAGCUUCGGCCUCCGUAUCGGGAGGGGCCCGCGGCCCAUUAGUUUGUUGGUGCGGUAACGGCUCACCAAGAACGCGAUGGGUAGCUGGGCUGGGCGGAGGAUGAGCCACACUGGGACUGAGACACGGCCCAGACUCCGACGGGAGGCAGCAGCGGGGAAUCUGGCGCAGUGCGCGAAAGCGUGACGCAGCAACGCCGCGUGGGGGAAGAAGGCCUUCGGGUUGGAAACCCCUUUCAGGAGGGACGAAGGUUCGGCGGUGAAUAGCCGUCCGGACUGACGGUACCUCCACAAGAAGCCCCGGCUAACUACGU
rnacentral:rRNA from 1 species